AGACGUCUACAUUAGAUACCCCUGUAGUCCCAGCCGUAAACUAUGCGCGUUAGGUGUAUCGACGACCACGAGUCGUCGAGGUGCCGAAGGGAAACCGUGAAACGUGCCGCCUGGGAAGUACGGUCGCAAGGCUGAAACUUAAAGGAAUUGGCGGGGAGCACCACAACAGGUGGAGCCUGCGGUUUAAUUGGACUCAACGCCGGGAAGCUCACCGGAUAAGACAGCGGAAUGAUUGCCGGGCUGAAGACUCUGCAUGACUAGCUG
rnacentral:rRNA from 1 species